UCCAGAACAUUCCAACAGAUCCAUAUAAGAUAGAACAAAAUAUCGUAAAAUGCGUUUCAAUUAUUAUUACAAAAAGAAUCUAUUCAUUUGAAAUUCAAAAUAAAAAUCCAUAAUUGUUAUUAUUCGCCGACCAUUUCUGGAUAAGACCAACGUGAAGUUAGAUACACAUGAUGAUAAUUGUGCAUCAAGCAAUCAUGCAUAUUCAUUGAUCUAUUUAUAUGGAUUAGAAAACAAACCAAUCACGAUCAAUUAUAAGCUAAUGUAUAUACAUACAUACAUAUAUAUAUAGAUAUAUAUAUAUACAUACAUAUAUAUAUAUAUAAUUUUUCUCCUGUCUAAUUACCACUGUUCAUAAAUGCUAUAUAAAAUUUUUUUUUAUUAGAAUCAGUAUGUUAAAAUAUACGUAUGCUUUAUUAAAAAACAAAAAAAAAAGAGAGAAAAUAUCACAGGAAAUUUGAAUUAUACGAUACAGAUAUAAAAAAAAAGGCCAAUUAUAAAUAAUCAUGCAAACGAAUCUUCUGGAAACGAGUUAUAAGGAAACUCGUUUUACAAAUCUAAUGUAUGCAAGUAGUAUUUCGAAGUGUCAACCUUGGCCGCACCUUUUCUUACAACCAAGAGAUUUACCAAAUUUGUAAUAAUCAAUGUGAUAUGAAUCCUUAUCUAAUUGACAAACGUAAAAAUAUUUUGACAUAUACAAAUAGAUAUAACCAAAUCUAAGGUUAACUUCGGGAGAUUUCUAUCAUAUAACAAACGAUCGUACUGUCGUUAUUUUCAUUGCAAUGGAAUCAAAACAGUCAUCGAGGAAAACUUUGAGCUUGGCUGGCGUCCAAAAAUACACGCUCGAAUUAAAACAAAUCUCUACGCGUAUGCGCUCAAAACGCCAUCUCGAGUAUAGAACUAGCGUAUUGUACGAACUUUAACGAAGAUUCUCGACGAUCACCGAAUACAUAACGAGGGAAAAUUUGAUCGAAAUUUUAUCUUCUCUUCUUUUUUUUUCAAUAUGUAAAACCAAUAAAAAAAAUUAUUAUUGUUAAUA